rnacentral:rRNA from 1 species
UACGGAGGGUGCAAGCGUUAAUCGGAAUUACUGGGCGUAAAGAGUGUGUAGGUGGUGUCGUAAGUUUGGUGUGAAAUCUCCCGGCUUAACUGGGAGGGUGCGCCGAAGACUGCGAUGCUGGAGUAUGGGAGAGGAAAGCGGAAUUCCUGGUGUAGCGGUGAAAUGCGUAGAUAUCAGGAGGAACACCUGCGGUGUAGACGGCUUUCUGGACCAUUACUGACACUGAGACACGAAAGCGUGGGUAGCAAACAGG